GGCUGGUCUCAGUGCAGUGGUGUCUACAACUAAUUGAUCACAAGCUAUAGAUUCCUUUGUUCCUUCUCUACUCCUGCUGCUUCACUUGACUCGCCCUGA
ensembl:misc_RNA Y_RNA Y RNA